rnacentral:misc_RNA from 1 species
CCACGAAGGAUGUGGGUCUGGUAAAAACAGUAUUUUAUUGUUAAGUUAGUUUUAAAAUCACCAAAAAUACAUAAAGCCAAAAAUGGACUAUGACUUCAAAAUGAAGGCUAUUGCUGAGCGAACAAAAGUUGAAGAUUUAUUUGAAUAUGAAGGUUGUAAAGUAGGCAGAGGAACUUAUGGCCAUGUGUACAAAGCUCGUCGAAGCACUAAGUCAGAUCCCAAAGAUUAUGCCUUAAAACAAAUAGAAGGAACUGGAAUUUCAAUGUCUGCUUGUAGAGAAAUUGCACUAUUAAGAGAACUAAAACAUUCGAACGUCAUCCACCUCCAGGGUGUGUUUUUGUCUCAUGUAGAUCGUAAAGUAUGGUUAUUGUUUGAUUAUGCUGAACAUGACCUUUGGGAAAGAGAUUGAAUUAUUGUAACAUGUUCAGAGGAGGGCAACUAGGGUGAUACCUAGGAUGGAAAAGUUGUCAUACAAGGACAAGAUAAGAUGCCUGAAGUUUUUAUCUCUUGAGGAAAGACUUAGAGUGGAUCUUAUUGAGCACAUAAUUAAGUUUCACCGAGCAGCAAAAGCCAAUAAAAAGCCUGUAGCUUCUCCAAAAGGAAUGGUAAAAUCCCUUC